ACGCCGUUGGUGAAAUGGUUAUCAUGCUUGCCUUCCACUAAAAUUGCUUACCUAAGCAACGGGCAGCAAGCGGCGGGGGUUCGAUUCCCCCACGGCGUA